GGAGGUCCUAAGGGGUCCUGACGUGCAACUCGGUCCUGUAACUUGGGGCAAGGGGCCAAAAGCCAAUCUAGUUCGGUGAUAGCUAGUUCCUACCGAAGCGGGUCGUAGCCCGGCCUAGGCAGACGUUGCUAACGCUGUAGAGCACCGAUGUGAAAGUAAGGGAUCGAAAGAUCCUCCUUUCGUUUCGAACUCCGAAGGUGUUGGUGCGGUAGAAGCCUGGAUGCGGGUUUGUGUGGGGUAAGCCUCACAACCGAGAGGGGGACAACCCAGACUGGAGUUAAGGCCCCUAAAUAUCGACUAAGUGUCAAACAAAAGGGUGUCUUUGAGCCAAGACAGCAGGAAGAUAGGCUUAGAACCAGCCAUUCUUUAAAGAGUGCGUAACAGCUCACCUGCCGAGCUUGGGGGCCCCGAAAAUGGACGGGGCUAAAGUCGAUUGCCGAUACUCUGGACCACAAGUUAUUCUUGUGUGUGGUAGGUAGGCGUAGAGGUUGGGUAGAAGUAGGGCUGUGAAGUCCUGUGGACCG
rnacentral:rRNA from 1 species